rnacentral:rRNA from 1 species
GGCGAACGCUGGCGGCGUGCCUAACACAUGCAAGUCGAGCGAAUGAAGUUCUUUCGGGAAUGGGUUUAGCGGCGGACGGGUGAGUAACACGUGGGCAACCUGCCUCAUAGAGGGGAAUAGCCUUCCGAAAGGGCGAUUAAUACCGCAUAAGAUUGUAGUACCGCAUGGUACAGCAAUUAAAGGAGCAAUCCGCUAUGAGAUGGGCCCGCGGCGCAUUAGCUAGUUGGUGAGGUAACGGCUCACCAAGGCGACGAUGCGUAGCCGACCUGAGAGGGUGAUCGGCCACAUUGGGACUGAGACACGGCCCAGACUCCUACGGGAGGCAGCAGUGGGGAGUAUUGCACAAUGGGGGAAACCCUGAUGCAGCAACGCCGCGUGAGUGAUGACGGCCUUCGGGUUGUAAAGCUCUGUCUUCAGGGACGAUAAUGACGGUACCUGAGGAGGAAGCCACGGCUAACUACGUGCCAGCAGCCGCAGUAACAC